GGUGGGAGGUCCCUCUAAACCCUAAUGAGCUCCACAGUAGAAGCAUUUGGGCAAGGCAGCCUUGACGCCAGGGGCAGGUACAGAGGAGCAACUGUCUCAGAGGAAUACGGGGAAACCGAGGGGGUGUGGUCUAUUCUAAACUCAGGGCACCACAGCCACACCCCAUCUCCCCCGCAGGCCUUGCUAAAGAAUGUUAGGAGAGGAGUAGCUGACCCUACUUGAGCUGAGUCAGAAGGGACCCUGGGCCAGACCAUCUGCAGGGGCGGAUGCAGUGACAUCCCUCGCAGACUCAUCUGUCCAUUGGAGAAGGGCUUCCAAGCUCCCUUUCUCGGUCCUGUGGAUGGAAGGAUUUAGGUGGGACAGCCCUCCUCUUGUCCUGCCUCUGCCAUGAACCUCAACCUCUUUUGUGUGACUCUUUGGCUGCUGGGAGCAGGUCCCAUGGAGGCUGAGAUCACCCAGACACCAAGAUACAGCAUUAUACAAACAGGAACCAAGAAAACCCUGGAGUGUUCUCAGGAUAUGAACCAUUUUGCAAUGUUCUGGUAUCGACAAGACCCCGGACAGGGGCUGAGGCUGAUCUAUUAUUCAAGUGACAGCCCAAGCACUACCAAAGGGGAUGUUGCCGAAGGGUACAGCGUCUCCCGAAAGGAGCAGAAGUUUUCCCCCCUGACCCUGGAGUCUGCCAGCACCAACCAGACCUCUGUGUACCUCUGUGCCAGCAGUGAAUCCACAGCGCAGCUCAGCCAGCUGCUCUCUGCACAAAAAGCUCAGCCGCAAGCACAGAGACUCCUUCCUGAGUUCCCACCUCAUGAUGAGGAAAAAACUGCCCUUACUGAGGCUUUCACCCGAUGCUGAGCAGGAUGGCCCUCAGUGUGAACUGUGCUCCG